rnacentral:rRNA from 1 species
UACAGAGGUCCCAAGCGUUGUUCGGAUUCCUUGGGCGUAAAGGGUGCGUAGGUGGCGCCGUAAGUCGGGUGUGAAAUUUCGGAGCUUAACUCCGAAACUGCAUUCGAUACUGCGGUGCUUGAGGACUGGAGAGGAGACUGGAAUUCAUGGUGUAGCAGUGAAAUGCGUAGAGAUCGUAAGGAAGACCAGUGGCGAAGGCGGGUCUCUGGACAGUUCCUGACGCUGAGGCACGAAGGUCAGGGGAGCAAACGGG